rnacentral:lncRNA from 1 species
GAGAAGUAGACAAGGACCCAAGUUCCAUUUUGGGUCGGAAGAACUAGAAAACUCAAAAGAUCGCCACUCUUUUAGUGAGGAAACUAGCAAAGGGAGAAUGUUGCACUAUGUUACCCAAGGAGUGGAUCAAAACUGCACUAAAACACAACACAAAAAAGGCCAAUUUUAAUCAGUUGAACGACAAGAUAAUCGAUAAAAAAACUAAGGAAAGUUUAAACGGUAAUGAAGAGAGAAAAAGGAGAGGACGAAGACAAUGACGUUAUGAGAAAAUACAAUGCAAUGCCGGAAGAGAUAAAAAGAAGAGGUGCGCAAGGGAGUAAAAGAAGAGGAGAAGUAGAGAAAAAGGAGAAGAGAUGAAGACGCGAUCAGAAACUGAGUGGUUAGAAGGGUCUGUGGUUUAUUUAAAAUGAAAUUGGGCGUUGGUUGCGCCAGAAACCGACGUCUAUAGACAUCAGUGUUUGAUCGGGAUCCGACGUCUAUUCUUCUUAAAGAAGCUGAAAAGAUUGACGUUUGAUUUCCUGUCAGGGUAGUUCACGUCGGUGCCCCUCCUAGCCGACGUCUAAAACCCUCGAAUUUGGUGAAAAUAAUCAAUUACAGGAACGUAGACGUCACUUACGUUCAAAACCGACGUCUAAAUUGAAGGAUUUUUGUCUUCCC